AAAAAACAUAGCUGGAAAUUUGUCCUUCGGAAUGUAGACAGAAAAUUGUCUUUACAAACAGGUGAUUUUACAGGAAAGUCUGGGUUGGCUUCCCUUAAUUUUGUGGUUUGUAGUGGUAGUGUAGAUGAGGAUUUUAAGCCCUCAAAUCUGCCAAGGAAUGUGUAAAGACAAGUUAUCAGUAUCCUCCCAGUCCCCAGUAUUAAUUGAGAAAAAAACACAAGUUAUUCAGCUCAAACAUGGCAU
rnacentral:lncRNA from 1 species